rnacentral:rRNA from 1 species
UGCUUGACACAUGCUAAUCGAACGUCUAAUUUAAUUAGAAAUAAUUUAAUUAGAAAGUGGUGUACAGGUGAGUAAACGAUAUUAUGGCUACCUUGGAGUAAGGGACAUUAAAAUACCUUAUAUAAUACAAAAAAUAUGUAUAAAAAGAAAUUUAUUUUCGCUCCUAGAUGGAAAUUAAUAUCUCGGGCAGGUAGUAGUUAAGGUAAUGGCUUAACUAGCUUAUGUCCGUAGUCGAGACUGAGAGGUCGAUCGAUCACAUUGGGUCUGAAAAAACCCCAAUACGUAUAGUACAGCAGUGAGGAAUAUUGGUCAAUGGCCUGAACGGCUGAACCAGCAACUUGGGGGAAUGGAUAUAUAUAUUAGAUAUAAUAUAUAAUACCGACUCUGUCGGAUAAAGUUCUAGAUAGAAGAAUGAUAAUGACAAUUUUCUAUCUAUAUGUCUUGACCAAAUCUUGUGCCAGCAGUCGCGGCAACACAAGGGAGACUAGUGUUAUUCAUCUUUAUUAGGUUUAAAGGGUACCUAGACGGUAUAUCAAGCCCCAAAAGGGAACGGGUAUACUAUAGUUUUAUGUGAGAGGCAAAUAUAGUACUAUUGGUGUAGAGAUAAAAUUCAUUGAUACCUCUAGGCACGGGUAACGGCGAAGGCAAUCCUCUAUGUAAAAACUGACGUUGAGGGACGAAGGCUUGGGGAGCGAAUAGGAUUAGAUACCCUAGUAGUCCAGGCAGACAAUUAUGAAUGUCAUAGAUUAGAUUAUAAUAGUAAGAAAUAAGAAAGAGAGUAAGAUAAUUACUAAAAAAAAAAAGGGUUAGAUGUCUUCACCUCCCUAUUUUUUUUGAUCUAUAAAUGAAAGUGUAAGCAUUCCACCUCAAGAGUAAUGCGGCAACGCAGGAACUGAAAUCAUUAGACCGUUUCUGAAACCAG